GGCCUCCCAAAGUGCUAGGAUUACAGGCGGGAGCCACUGAGCCUGGCCCGAGAGCCUGCAGGUUUUGGUGGGGCUCAAAUAGCUCUGGCUGCCCCCAAAUAGGGGUGGGGUGGAGAAGUCUCCUCAGAUGAAAUGAAGGUCAUGACUGCCAUCAUUUUUAUACCCUACAGUCAAUCACUUGGGGAAAUGGCUAGCCCUUGAAUUUAUAAACCACAUAUAAACUUGUAGUAUCCAUUAAAAAGAACUGCCAGGGGACACAUGGUUUGCCUAGAAUGGCACCCAGCCUGCCAUCUGCUCCUGUAUGUAAAUUAUCUGUGUUUUAUAACCUUUCAUGGAAGUUGUUUAAAGAAGAUUGUCUUUUUUUUUCUCCUUUAAAACUCAAGUAUAAAUUCAAAACUCAAAUAAUCCCCAAGAAUUUCUCUCUGUUAAAUAUUGCUGCAGCUCUGACAGGCAAAUACACAGGCCUGGGGACCCGGGAGGGCCUGUGCACGUUUUGGGGAAGAAGGCCCCCGCUUGAAGCCCCUGCUGGCAUACUCCUAGCUACCCAUCCCAGUCUGCUCUCAGCUUGGUAUCUUAGAGACUCCCAGGUGGGGCCAACUGGCUCCCAAGAGUGGCACUUCAUCCCCAGGUUCCACAAGGAUCCUUGGGAGUCCUUGAACAGAGGGCCUGGGUGAGACAGCAUACCCCAGCACUGCAGCCAGGUGUCAGGGCAGGCAGGGCCAAUGGGGUGGCAGCUGGCCCAUAGGUGACCCAGACGAGGCCAGACCCACACUCCCUGGCCUGUGCUGCCCCGCAGCAGUGAUCUGAGGGAGCACUCCCCAGCCUGUGCUGCCCCACAGCAGUGAUCUGAGGGAGCACUCCCCGGCCUGUGCUGCCCCGCAGCAGUGAUCUGAGGGAGCACUCCCCGGCCCGUGCUGCCCCGCAACAGUGAUCUGAGGGAGCACUCCCCGGCCCGUGCUGCCCCGCAGCAGUGAUCUGAGGGAGCACUCCCCGGCCCGUGCUGCCCCGCAGCAGUGAUCUGAGGGAGCACUCCUGCAGCCAGGCCAGUCCCUCACCUGGAAAUCCCCAUAGAUGGACCCUCACUAGUAAGGCUUUUUUAGCUGGAAGCUGCCCCUCUGCUUCUUGAUUUUUGAAAGUAAACGGCACCUCCCAUGCCAAAAGAAGGCAGACUUGCUCUUUCGCUUGAAUGUGAAAACACUGGGAGCAGAAGCAGGUCUGGAUUGCUGGGUCUUCAGUCCUUACCCUUCAAGAGGUGCUAUGCGCUAGGUGCAGGGCUUAAUGUAUUUUCACACAUGCUGGCUACAAGGUGUGUGUUUCCAUCUGCACCCAGCUUGGAGGCUGCCUCCACCUUUCCACAGGCUAUGCACCAAGGUCAGUGGCAGCAGUAGGAGACAGUGGGGGUUAAACAGGGACUAGGAGCAAUCUGGCAUCUCGCCCUCCUCCCUUGGCCCCAGAAAUGGAAGCUGGAAGGAGAGAUGCCAUGGGCUUAGUGGAGUGGGUGAGGGGCUGCUUGAGCCCUCGUGUGUGCUCAUCUCAUUCCCCGUGCCAUGGGCCCACAGCUAAUAAGCACCACGUAUCUGGGGAAAGAGUGAGUUACCCCAAGGACAGGCCCAUCCAGCUCCCUGCAGAAGCCCCUACUUCACUUUCAUUCCUGCCUGGUCCCUGAGAGCCCACAGGCUAUAGCUAGGCUCAGAGAGGGGAAGCCAGGGCCCAGCAGCUCAAGGCCUCUGAUUCAAAGCUGGCCAGGGCCUGGAUAGAGUAGCACUGGGGGCACACGUUGGUCUAGCAAGAGAGAAAAAAUGAAAAGACAUAACAGACCUUUUUUGAUCACCCUGCAUGGAACAGAGGGAACUGAGUCUGAGCACAACAUGUCUGGGCAAGAGAGGGAACAGAGGGCCAGUAUGGUCCCCAAAGAGGGCCGGGCACUGCCAGGCAGGGUGGCUGUAGGUGAGGAGGGUGCUGGAGCUCCCAGGACUGGCCUUCACUGGUGAUGGGCCCUGGAGAAGCCAGGUGGCCCAACUGUGCUCAGUGCUUCUAACCAUCAUGAAAUCAUGAACGGUCUGGAGGGCAAAUCCUCCCAUGGGGACUGUGGGCAAGAAGGUGCCUACCUAUCUGUCUGUCUUUAUGUUUUUAUUUUUCUUUUCUUCCUUCCUUUCAGUUGUUUAGUCAUUUAACAAACAUUGGUUGAGUGCCUGCUUUGAGCCAGACACUGUAAGGACUGGAAAUACAGCAGUCACCAAUCCAGACGUGGCUCCUACCCUCCAUGUGCCAUGGUGGGUGAGCAACUGCAGCCCAGCACAAGUGCCCAGGAGGAAAAGAAGGGGGUGUGUAGGAGCAUAUAGGAGGAACCCCAAGUCCCAAAAUGGAGAGAUAGGAUGGGUGCCUAGGACCAAGCGAUGUCUAAACUGAAAGCACACCACGGUCUUAAGCAAGAGAGUGAGGGGGAGUAUUCUGAACUAAUUGCGUAGGUGAAAGCCCAGGCCAGACAGAGCCCCAUAUGGGGUAGUGGGUUUCCGCAGACAGUGAAGUGUGGCUGGAAUAUGGUGCAAGGGGCAGAGAUGGGAUGGGGCCUCCUAUGAGGCUAGAGGGUCCCUAUGGGCAGUAAUUGACCCACUAGUGAGUGAGUGAGUCUGUGCCCUCCUCAGAAUAUCGGGCUGAACCCACAGACGGGCUGGCCUGAGAGGUGCUGGAUUUCUUGACUAGGAGGAGUCAGAGCACCACCAAAGCACUCCAGGUCCAGACACACCCAGGCUCAGAGUGGAGAACAUCAUCUAAAAAGCAGCCACGUUAGGUAAAAGCUCAGUAUUUCCCCUUUUCCAGAGGGAUGGGCCUGAAGGGUUAACCAUUUGCCCUGGUUUUAAGAAACAGAUGUCCUAGCAGAAGGGUCUGGGGACCUCCCAACACCAUGAAUGAGUUGCCCCAACACUAGAGAGUGUGACAAUUUCAGUUCAAGCUUGGAUGUUUAGAACACUGGAGUUUUUGCUUUCCCAGAUGGGAAUCCUUAAAUGUUGCAAUUUCUUCUUUAAGGCAAAUUAGAGGAAUCGAGCUCCGCUUAUCACUUUCUUGCACCUGGAAGAAAUCUCAGAUAGGAAUGAUUGGCUAUUUUUGGACCUUGAGUGAAUUUAAAUUCCACAUUUAGACUCCACCACCCAUGUUUGAUUUCUAAUUAGAAUGUGACACUUACCUUAUGAACACAAGGUGUCGUGCAGAAGACAUUCUCCAAAGGAGGUUGAGGAUGCGCAGAAAUAAAGGUGGUCCAUAUGGAACAAGAAUGAUAUUUCUGCAGGCGUAUUUAGAGGUAACAAUUUUCUGAUAAAUGGAAUCUUCAAGAGUAUUCUUUAAAAAUCACCAGAUUUGACUUAUUGUGCUUUGCUCACGUUUAUUAAACUUAUUAAGAUACACAGGAUACCUACCUGUUGUUGCUUUGAAGAAGGUAUGGUGUGUGUACUUGGAUACGAUGAAAAUGAAACAGAUAGAUCAGGUAUAAAGUCUAGAGAUGCUAAUGGUGUUGGGUCAGUUGUAUAAUGCAGGCUUUGCCACUGAGUGGUUUUUGUUUUGCUGACUCCAAAAGCCUGAUUGAGCCUCUAUGACUCAGGAGAAGGGAGGACAUGAAAUUUAGGGGUUCCGUGACUCAAGGGGUCAUACCACAGAUGCCUCCAUGUUUUUAAUUCUCACUUCUACCAGGGCUCAAGAUUAUGUACCACUGCGUGAGCAUUUUUUAACAACUAAAUAAAAGAAUGACACCAUGCUAUAUUAUAUUGGUUUUGCUGAACAUGCUUUUAUUGACUCUGGUCAAAAAUGGAUGAGGAUUUUUUUUUCCUUAACCUUGAUGAAUAGUACAUAAAAAGCAUCAACAUCACAUCUCAAGAAAAGCUGCAGAAGAGAAGGCUCAAUAAAAAUGGAUCUGACUCCAUGCAAGCAUAGCUCUAUUUAGCAUCUUUCAUUCUAAUGACUUAAUGGCCAGAUACCACAACUGUACAAUUAGCAACAAAGAGAAGUUAUUGGGAGCUGAAAGGGAUGCCUGUGUCAUCAAUUUUCAGUCCUGUUGUCUCUUCUUAUAACCAAAUAGAAGGAGAUUGAUAGCUAGGAUCUUGUUAUCUCAUGGCACGGACAUGUAGGAUUUAACCACUGAGUAGUUUAUCCCUAGCCAAUUAGCCACUGGAAGGUGAUUGCCACCUCAAAUAAUCAGUUGAGACCUUUGCAUGGAGACUCAUCCUCACUCCUCCUGAAGGAUGCUGUGUGGCCCUGCCUCUGACCUGCACGUCUGAGAAUUUAUUGACAGCUCAAAUCCACAGAAUGGGAUUUCUCCAUGUGACAGGGGCUGUCCCUACCAGCCCAGCUUCUCACCAUUGUGGGUACAAUGCCAGCAACUCACUGGUUGAUUGGCAGCAUGGCCACCCAUACCCAUUCAGAGGCAUGAAAAGAGCUCCACCAGUAAACAUCCACUUGUCCCAGGCCCUGCCAGCCUGGACUAAAAUCCAUGCAAGAGAGAAGCUGGGCUUGCCAGGUAGCCAGUCACUUACUGUGUGAAGCUACCAUGUGCGGAGCAGUGUCAGCCGACCCUGCUGCACUGGAGCAUGCCUGUGGGAGGGAGUGGGCUCCGGUGGCAACAUUGCUGGAGUGGGGAAAUCUGAGUUCUCUAGUCCUGACCUUGCCACCAGCCAUCUCUAGGGCCUCAUGGAAGUGACUCAAUUUCCCUGGACUUUUCCGGGGUUCAGUAGCCCUGUCUAUCACUUGCUUGCCUCAGGCCUCCAAGCAGGUGGCCCUCCCUUGUCCUGUGCUCCGUGUUGGUGGAUUUUCCACUUGCAUCCCUCUGUCACUGUGAUGGGUGAGGGCUGGAGGCACAGUUUGCCUAUCUGCACUAAACGUUUCUCGGCCACUGUAGCAGAUACUGGCAGUGCUCUCAUUGUUUCCUACACACUGAAGGCAUCUUUUGCAACUCUCUGUCUCCCUUCGGGGUGCUACCAGGAUGCAGGGGCAUGUCUGGUCAGUGCACAGGGCAAGCCAGGAGUGCUGGGAGUCCAUGUGUCCAGGAGUAGCCUUCAACCAACAAUGAGCAAGAGUUGCUGGAUAAGUACCAGCUCUGCACCCAUCAGGUGCAGGAAGGCAUCCUGCCCCAUCUCCCAGGUGCCUUCCUGGCAGGCUUAAUCCCAGCUGCCCACAGUGAUAACCUGCUCAUUAAUUUGCCCCGUCUUGGCUUCUUUCUCUCCCUUCUUUCAUUUCCCCAUCUCCCUACCAGUGCUUCCUAGGAUAUCACUUCCCAAUAUAUUUGCAUUCAAGUCCUACUCAGAGUCUGAUUUCAGAGGAACCACAUCAAGACUGCCCCAAGCCAGGCCCUGUGCUGUGCAGGCCCUGACACCGGGAGUGUUUUCUUCUUUUUCUGACUGUCCUCAGGAGCAGGGCUGGCCCUGACCCAGACCCAGGAGGCCAAGUGCAGGAGGCAGUAGUCCACUGUAUCCGAGCCUCUAGGACACAUUCCUCCUCUGUGUGGUGCUGAGGUGGGCCCAGUGGAGGUGUGGAGAAGUGGUGGGUGAGGGCUGGGUGCGUGGUUCUCAUGUCCUGCCUGAAACGUGUCUUCCACCCUGUGUCUGGGCUAGGCCCCUUGCAGCCUCUACUGUCUUCUCUUCCCCCUUCUUGGACAUUCCCAGGCCUCUCAGAGGUUGUGUUCUGCCAGUGGAAUGACUCAGGCCACUACCCUGUGCCUCCAGGGAGGCGACCCAGCUCCAUGGAAAACUAUUAGCACUCCUUGGCACAUCCAUCCUGGGGAGGCGAUAAGCUAAGUCCAGUACCGACUGCUUCUCCCAGGAAGUUGAAUUUAAAGUCUCAGCUCAAGCCUUACAUUGCCAUAAGCAGCUUGGUCGGCCAGCCAGAUGUAAGGGCUCAGUGCAGCCCCACAUUAGGCUGGCUGCUGAGAGCUCCCCAUGGGCCUGUGGAGCAGAAGCUGACAGAUGCUGAGCCUUCCACAAGAAAGGGCCUUGAAGUCCAAACCCUUGCCAAAAACAGGCUUGGUGAGGCGUCUUACGGGCACCCCUGAGCUGCCCACAGCCACCCAAAUGAUGUGUCUUGUUCCUGUCAAGACACCUUGUCAGCAGCCCACCUUGCCCGCUGAUGCCCUCUCCCUCCACAGCGCCCAGAAAUUAUUCAGUGAAUGGGUGUAGCCCCAGGUUCCAGAGCUCUCUCCUGUACUACUCGCCCAGCUGGACCUGCCAUUCUUCCACAGCCAGGGCUUGUGCUCCAGGGUGACUCUUCCUUUCCUUCCUCCCGACCCCGACAUGUCCCCCACCCCCAGGGCUCUGCUCACUAAGAACUGUGGGUCUGCAGCAUGACUGAACAGAUCCUCUAUGGUUACAGCUAACACAGAUCAACGUCUGACCCCUCCUAGGGUGUCCACGCCCUGAAUAAAACAAUGCCUACUACUGAGGAAGAGAAUUCCUAAUGAAGGCAUUUCUAGCACUGAUGGUGCCAGGUGUGGGGAAGAGGGUGGGGGUGGGCUAAGUACAUGAAAACCCCGUACUUGCCCCCUUCGGCAAAGCCUUCCCAGUGGCGUGGCCUGCUCUCCCAUGUGCAUCUGGAGCCUGCACGCUGUCAGGCACAGCCGUCUUUGGAGAAUGACCCUCUCUUUGCCCUCAUAGAUAUUGGUACCAGAGCUUGCAGCAGCUCUUAUUCUAAGCCCUGUUUUAGACGAAGGGAGAGAUCAGCCCCAAGAGGGAAGGGACUCUCCCAGUUACCCCCACGAGCUGGCACUUGAAGACCUCUGAAGCAGGAGGGAUGAAGGCAAGGCGUUUUCUUAAGUUAGCUAGCAACCUGGUCAUCCAGAGCUGUUUCUUUUUAGCGGUAGAAAGGACAGCCAGCCUCCCACCUGACAACAACAGAAUGAAAAAUUUAAUGUGUGGUAUCAAUCGCAGUCCCACCCAGAGGCCUCAAAUAGCUUUUGUCCUGAUUGAAGGUAGAAAUUCAUGGCUCCAGGAGUAACCAAAUAUUGGCAAGUUUGGGCCCGGUCAUGUCAAAAGGCUUCUAAAAAGAAUGUUUUAUUUAGUCAAUAAAUAAUAGAUUCAAAGGUCUCAUAGAGUUCUAGAAACAUAAAAAGGAAGAUAUGCCUAGACACUCUUGUUCUAUUCCCGUUGUCCACCCCACCCCAUCCUCAGUUGGCCCAAACUGCUUAGAUGUUAGCAAGGGCUGGGAGAAAAUCCCUACAGCCCAUCACUUCAUCCCAAGCUAUUAGGGAACACACUUGGCCAUUUCUCUGUCCAAGUUUCCUUCUAGACAGUGUUACAAUAAGUAGAAUAAGAGCAAGACAAUGUGACUUCACAGGUACAUGCUUUAUUACCUACACUGACUUCCACCAAAGUGGGCAGGAGGAAUCAAAGGCCCGUGAGGUUCCAGAAGAUCUUGAGCAUCCGCGCUCAUCCCAGCCCUUUUUUAUAUAAUGUAAGUUGUUUCUCACAUAACCCCAUUCUUAGCCUGCAGCCAGAUACCUCCCUAACUCCUCCUCAGACCUUCCCCAAAGGCAGAGCUAACUAGAUCAGUUCUGCUCAUCCUCGAAAUCAAAUUUAUAUCUUGCAUGUGGGUUUUCCUCAUUAUAAUGUCAUUUCCAUGAGGUGUGAGCCCCAUUGUCAGGGCAAUCCGGAUGAUGAAUUUGCACUUCAGCCUUCACUGAAAUCUUUACUUAGUCAAACUCCCACUGUGUUCCUCACUCGUCCCACACUUGUGAUCAUGUGAAUGUAAAGGUUCUGCAGUUUCCACCAGAUCCACCUCCUUCCUCCACACCCUGUAUCUAUUUCUCUACAUCUUAACGACAUGUACAUGUGUCCCUAAAUUCAGGGACUUCAUAUAUUCUUUUCUAUUAACAACCCCUAAUAUAAUUCCUACCACCAAUAUCAUAUAUUCUCCUUCCAAUCAAUACCAUCUGCUGCAUGGAUAUAUCCUGGAAAGGGUUUUGAAAUAUCCACACCAAAAAACUCUACUAGCAUUCUGGAAGAACAAAUUAAAUCAAUUCAUGACUUCUUGCCUGUAAGCACUGAAUGCCAGAAGAUAAUGGAGCCAGUAUUUGGAAUGUUUCAAGGACAAAAGAUUACGAUCCAAGAAUUUGUCCUCUGCCUAGAUGUUGUUAAUGUCAAAGGCAAAAGAAAGGCAUUCUCAGAUAUGCAAGAGUUCAGAUAUACACCAUCUUCCUGCUUUUUCUUAUUUUUUAAAAGAAGUACUUCAAGUCAUGUUCCACCUAACUGAUAAAUGAAUCAAAAUAUUGUAUCAUAAAAGAAUGAGCCAUGAGAUUCCAAACAAGUCAAUUAUAGAAUUAAGUGUAUAUAAUUAGAGUAAUAUGUUACAAUUCAGUAGCUAUAAAUUCCAACCAAAGAAAGAAAAGUUGGCCCACAAAGCUGAAGACAAAAAUAAUAAUAAUAAAAGGAAAAGGACAAAGGGAGAAAGCUCAAUAACAUAAAUAAUGAAAAAAUGUUUAAAAGAAAGUGAAGAGAACAACCUCUCAAUGAUAAUGCAAAGACUCCAAAUUGACUAAAAAAAAACCAUUUACUGGCCAAGUGCAGUGGCUCAUGCCUGUAAUCCCAGCACUUUGGGAGGCUGAGGUGAGUGGAUCACCUGAGGUCAGGAGUUCAAGACCAGCCUGGCCAACAUGGCAAAACCCCGUCUCUACUAAAAAUACAAAAAAUUAGCCGGGUGUGGUGGCGAGCAACUGUAAUCCCAGCUGCUCGGGAGGUUGAGGCAGGAGAAUCACUUGAGCCCAGUAGGCGGAGGUUGCAGUGAGCACCAUUGCACUCCAGCCUGGGCAACAGGGUGAGACUCUAUCUCAAAAAAAAGAAAAAAAAAAAAAAAACCAACAAAAAACAAAACACCUAUUUACUAUAUACUAUAUACAGUUUGCAUUAAAUCUUGGCUACUAAAUAUUCUUUCUUCAAGCUCAAAUCUUAGAGAUUAAAUGAGCAAUCCUGUGUUCUGAUUCCAUAUUCCCUUCUCAAGCUACCUCAACCAUGCCCAAAGGUUGAAAUAGUGCCCAAGUGUGGUGACUCUCACUGAUGGCUCCUACUUAGACCUCUGCUCUGAUUUCCAGGCCAAUAUGUCCAACUGCCUACUUGACAAAGGCACUUGAGUGCCUCACCAGCAACUAAAACUCAGAAUGUCCAAAUCUAAACUCAUGGUCUUUCCCCAUCACUAACCUUCCUGCCAGAAAAACAAAUAAACAACAACCCAAAAAAGCACCAUUCUCCAACCAGUGCAUCUGUCUCAGUAAAUGGUACCACCCUUCAUCCAUCUUCAUAAGCCAUAGAUCUUUGAGCCAUCUUUGUCACCUCUUUCUCCUGUAGCAACUCAAUCCAAUCCAUCAUUAAUAUUUUUGGCUCUAAAUAUUACACACAUCUCAAAUCCAUUCACUUCUCUCUAUCUCCAAUACCACCACUCUAAUUCAAAAUACAGUUUUUUCUCAACAAGACUCUCAUAAUCACAUCCUAACCAGUCUCCCUGUAUUCUUUCUUGCUCCCCUGGAAUCUGUUUUCCACCCAAAUACCAGAGUGAUUUCUUUUCAAAACACAAUUGGUGAUUAUGUCAAUCAGUGGUGUGCUGAUAAAUGUUUAACAACCGGCUCUCGGUGGGAAAAGUCCUAAUUUAUAGCAUUUGCCAAUUUCCAUAGUGUAAAUACUACUACCGUGGAUGACUUCAGUUGACCAGUCCAGUGAUGUCAUGGAACGCAGAGUCGGGAAGAGAUACGAAUCAUCUGCCCUUAUAAAUAGUAGUCUCCAGCAUAUCAUUGCUUGUAAAACUUCUGCUUAAAACCGUUUAAUAACUUCUCAAUGCUUCUAGAAUAAAGGCUCAAAUUCUCAGCAGGAUCCAAAAGAUGCUGCAUGGUCUGACCCUAUUAACCUUUCUAGCCUCAACUCACACCAUGUUCUCUUUGUUCUCCAUGCCUAACCCCACUACCUGACAACACACUCCUUCCUGCCACAGGUCAUCCUCCAUCUGGAGCACUCCCAGUGCCUCCCCCUUACCCAGUUUAGUUAACAAACACAUCUUUUGGAGCUGAGCCCAAAUGUCCCCUACUUAGGAAAGUCUUUCCUGAGCCAGUUCCACCAAACUAAAUUGUCAUUCCAUUGUAAACUUUUGUAGCACUUAGCUCAUAAUGCCAUAUACCAUAAAACGUAGGCCACCACUGUAGUUUUACAUAUACUUAUGAAACUAUUGGCUGAUGUCUGUCUUUUAUACUAUACUUAGAAUAAAUACUAUACUUAGAAUACCCUCAGAAGAGGGUAAGCAUUGUAUUUUUUUGUGAUUAGCACUGUAUUCUCUAGUGCCUAACACUUGGCAUGUGGGAAGUAUUAAUACAUUUCUGAUGCAUGAGAGAAUGAAAAGACACACACUUAAAGCCAAAUGGCAUAAGGAGAUUAAAGGAAAAAGAGUGGGCGAAGUUCUGUUAGUCAAAAACAAAAACAGAAAGCAAGGGUAGCAAUUUAGAGGGGAAGUAGAAUUCAAGGCAACAACACUAAAUGAGAAAAAGGGAUGCCAUUUUAUGGUGAUGAAAUCCAUGAAGAAGAUGCUGUGGUCAUGGAGCUUUAUGUACCAAAUAACACAAUAUCAGUGAUUACUGUUAGGAAUAAAAGGAAAAAUAGGAGCACAAUCGUAGUGUGAGAGUUUAACAUACCAGUAGAACUGAACAGAAAGGCCAGGAGCAAACCUUAGAACACAGUGCUAACCUAACACAGCAUUUCAAAACUGUGAGAAAAAGGAUCAUCAGUUAUUUUCAAAUGGUACUGGGCCAAAUGAUUAAGUAUUUGUUUUAAUAAGGUGGAUGACUUCACAUUGCAGUUGGAUAUGGCAGCUCUUCUAAAGCACUUGUCCCAAAACGCUCUUACAGGACAUUAAUAAACAUAACAAGAAAAGGAUUCUGGAGUCAAAUACAUCUGCAAAACACCAUGGUAAGCAAAGUUAAGCAGAUAUUUUUAUUGCAGGACUUUUAACCAUCUUUGGUGCUACUGUGCAUGCUACAAUCCCAAGAGGGAACUAUAGCACAUGCUAUUCCCAGAAUGACUUGAGUAUUUUGUGAGACUGGUGUUUCAUGUUCUGCAGAAAUCACUUGGGAAAUGGUGGCUUAAAAAGUUAAAUAAAACACAUAAAAUCAUAAAAGACCUCAAAUAAAUAUGAGCAGAUAUUUUUGUACUUUUACUAAGGUGAGUGGGGCUUUCCUAAACCAAAUAAAAAAGGAAGAUACAAUUAGAGACAUGGUUGAUAUAUUUGAUGACAUAAAAUCUUUAAGCUUCUGUAUAUCAUAAGGCAAAUGAAAAACUUGGGAAAAAUAGUUGGAGUUAUGAAUGACUUUUCUAUAGAAAGAGCUCUUAGUAAUCAAUAAAAAAGAUGACCAUCCACAUAGAAAAGUUUGUGAAGAACAUGAACAGAGGGCACACACACACACAGACAUUCACGUCCAUCCACCAAAUACACAUCAUUAUUAAAUAUUAGAUUCUGAACCUUCCUAAUAAUCAAAAUAAGGCAAAUUAAAACAGUAACAUAAUAUAUUUUUGGCUAUGAAAUAAGCAAUUUUUAAUGAUAAAAUUCAGUUUUAGCAAGGAUAGAGUGAAAGGGGACUCUCAAAUGCAGCCAAUGAAAAUAUAAAGUGGCACCAACUCUGUGGCCAGUAAUUUGGCAGUACUUAUUUAUUAAGUCUCUUUUUAAACAUGCUUUUGAUUCAGUAAUUCCACUUCAGGCAAUUUAUCACAAGGAAAAAAAUCAGAGACUGCCUAAAGAUUUAUGUUCAGGGAUGUUUACUGUAGCCUUGUUUGUCAAAGCAGAAGUUUUGGAAGCAGCCCAGAUGUCAAGCAGUGACUGGUUAAAGGAAAUAUGGUGUGCCCCAUAUGAUGAGAUAUUAUUCAGUCAUUAAAAAUUAUGACUUGUGGAAAUAGUCACAAAAAGAAUGUUAAGUUUAAAAGCAUGAUAUAAAACUACUUCCAGAUUCCAAUUUUAUAAAGUACAUAUGUAUAUUUAUGUAACUGGAAAAGACUAAGGUGAAAUAUAGUAAAAUGUGGAGUUAUUCUCUCUGAAAAACAUUCCAUUUAUUUUAUAACAUUCCCCCACAGCUCCUCAUCUAAUCCAUCAAACCAAGUCUUAUCAACUCUACUUCCAAAGCGCACCUUAAGUCUCGUCUGCUUCUCUCAUCACCACUACUAUGCCCUAGUCAAAGCCACCAUCAUCUUUCAUCUUUAGAAACUUAGAAGCCUCCCAUUGGUCUCCCUCCCUCCCCUUUUGCCCCGUUGCAGACCAAUCUUCAUGCAAUAGCCAGAGUAAUCUGUUUUCAAUGUAAAUCAGAUUGUAUUACCUCCUGCUUAAAACCCUCCAGGGCUUUCCCAUCACACCUUGAAAAAAAAUCCUUAGCUUUUCCCUUUGCCAUGGCUCGGAGGCCCCUGGAAUCCCACUGCUGCCUCCCUAUCUGACCUCAUCUCCUGCCACGCUCCCUUCCCGCCUUGCUUCAGCCUUUCUAGCCUCCCCUCUUGGCCCAGACACCUGCACUGGCCUUGACACCAGCUCUUCCCUCUGCCUGCCGUGCUUCCCCAAGCUCUUUACAGAGCUGACUUCUCCUGAGGUCUCAGCUUAAAUCCACCUCCUCCAAGAGGCCUCCUGAUCACCUAGAGUUGCCACCCUGACUUUACCUAUCGAAUCAAUGUAUUUUAAUUGUCUGCACUCACGGCCAUCUGAUUUUUUUUCUUAACUGACUCCUUUCUGUAUUGUCUAAGCUUUGCCCAUGAGAAUAUAAAUUCCAUUGCAGGCUGCUAUAUUCACUUAGAACACUGCCUGGCACUUAGUAGGCAAUAAAUGCUUGCCACAUGAAUGAAAUAGAAAUCAAACCAAAAACAUUUCAUUGAAACUGAAAAAGGUAAAUCAUGCCAAACAGCUUGACUUACUAACAGUGCUCAAAAAAAUCAAAUACUUUGGAAAAUCUCCAGGCUUGAAGGGGUGCCCUACCCUUGCGUGGGUACCCCGUUGCCAGUUAGUGGGUAAUCCUUCCCCCGUCUAACCCACCAGACCAGAAAAUGACACUAAUAUGGACAGGCAGGUGGAAUGGAUUUGCACAGUGUCUCUUACUUCAAAAACAAAUAGGACUAUUAAGCUUUUGCAGGUCUCUGGGGAACUUGUCCAGGUUUUGGUGAAUUCCAAUGAGCUCCAGUUUUAAACAUGCAGGAUUUCAGCUCUGGCUUUUAGUUCACUGAAAAAGAGAACAGCUUAGAUUUUCUUUGCCUUGCAACUCCUGAAAUUUCUCUUUCCUUCUUUGACAGCCUGAGGAGUCAGGGGCAGAGAGAAUAGAGGAGCUAGAUGCCUUUUAAUGAGAGAGAACCCAAGAAGCCUUCUGCACUCUCUUUGUAAGCCAUUUCUUAGUACUGCUUAAAAGAUCUGGGCCAUGACCACACAUAGCAAGGCACAGAAGCAUAUGAAAAAUUGCCAGAUUUAGUGCUUGUGGCUUGGGGUGUACUGCAAGGAUCUCUAAAGAUGGAGAUUUGUUAUGUUGCUGUGGAUAAAUUUGAAUCAAGUGUAAUCCAAUGCUGCUGUGUGAAAAUCAGUCAGUUACCAAGUGAGUGGGCCUCGCCAGCCACCCACCCACCCAGCAUCCUAUCUUCCAUAGGUUUCCACUUGACACUGGAAUAUAAGAUUUGUAAGGAGCAGAUUUCUGCCUAUUUGGUUUACCACCAAAUCCCUGGUGCCUAGAACAGCACAUGCAGAUAGCAGAUGCCCAAUAAAUAAUUGUUGAAUAAGUUAAAGGAGAAGUAAUAUUUUCCCCAUUUACUGAGCACUCACUGUUUCUCACCUGGCUUAAGUCUCAUGGCAACUCGAACUCUUAACUCUCACACCACCCCCACAAGGUAGGUUUGGCAGAAGGGAGCCUGAGAAAUUAGGUACUACAAAUCUCUCGUGUAGUGCAUGUCUAUUUGAAAGUUUAUUUCCUUUGCAGGGUAUUGUCUGAUGUUCAUGGCAUUGGGUAGAUAUUGUGGGAGAGGCAGAAAUGUCAUUAUGAAGAGAAUUUCUCUCUAUUAGCUAAUGUUUAGAGAGGCAUUGUGACAUACAAAAAGACCAUUGGUCCUGGACUUGGUCACAUCUGGAUUCCAAAUUUACCUCCUUCACUAACCUGUGUGAACUUCAACAAAUCACAACCUCUCUGAGCCUCAGUUUUCUAAUCUAUUUUUUUUUAAAGAUAAUGAAACCAGUCUUGCCCUGCUUGAAUGGAGGUAUAGUGAAGUGCAAUGACAGAACAGAUGUGAUUGACAACUUAUACUUACACCCUCUGUCUUACUGAAUUGUUAUUUAACUCUCAACUGAGGGUAGUCAGAUCUCCUACAUGGUGGCUCAGGGGUCUAAGAGUGAGUGUUCCAGGACAUUCAUGUGGAAGCUGCAAGCCUUCUUAGCUUCAGAAGUCAAGUCUUGGCUGUCCCAUUCUAUUGUUCAAGCAAGUUACUAAGGCCACACCUAAUUUGAGAGGAGAAAAAUUGUACUCUACGUCUCAGAGGAAGGAGCAUCAGAGAAUGUGUUGCCAUCUUUAAUCUACCACAGGUGGUAACACAGUUCUCUUGGUAGUGGCUGCCUGGAGUGAUGUGAGAGGUAAAUAAGAAGGCCACACCUGGGCUCAGUGGGAAAGUGCUGGAUGUUUACCACUGUCUGCUGGGGGAAUGGGGACCUGGGGGCCCUAUAUUUGCAACCUUUGACUUAGAAAUUUCUCCCUCAUGAUGCACCCCUCUAGGUCUCUCCUAUUUUCUUCCUAUCAACAUAUAUGUGCUGUUUUUUCCAUCAAAA